GUUGCCCAGGCUACUCUUGACUUCCUGAGCUCAAGAGUGCUUCCUGCCUCUGCCUCCCAGAGUGCUGGGAUUACAGUUGUGGGCCACCACACCUGGCCAUAAGAGACCUUUAGAGAUUCUGUAGGUCAGCCAUUAAUUUUGCAGGAAAGUAUGACCCAUUGAGGCAUUUGCCAGAAUUACAUAGCUACUUUUGACAGAACCAGGACUAAAUUUUGAGUCAUCAAAACUUCUAUUUUAGUGCCCUUUUUAAUUUUAAAAUGCUCUUUCACUAGCAGUCCUUUAAAUAUAUAGGUGGAUAGUUUUCAUUCAUGGGUUAAAAGUAUAGUCUGUGGUUUUCCCAGUUUUUAUAGGACUCAUUAAGGUAGAGAUAAUUUGUUGGAAUCAUUUCAUGAAAAUAUAGAGGAAUAUUUUGGCUUAUAGAAUAAGAUGUUCUUCCUCUUCGCUUUCAGAAAAGUGCACUUUCUUUGAUGUUACUUAUUUUAUACUCCAGAAUUAUGGAGAAGCAAGCCCCUUUCCUACUGGCCAAGUGAUGAGAAGGAGAACUGAAGGCCAGAGAGACUUAAUUGAUUCACUAAAGAACAUUCAUGUUAGGAUUAUUGAAUACUAAAACAAAGCAUUUAUUUCAGUUAAUACUGGCAGCAUUUAUGGCGUAAAAUAAACCAGAUACAGUCUAUUUUACUUUGUGUCUGAAGUAAAAUAGACACACUAUU